rnacentral:tRNA from 2 species
GCCGCUGUAGCUCAGUCGGUAGAGCAGUUGAUUCGUAAUCAGAAGGUCCGUAGUUCGAUUCUGCGCAGCGGCA